ensembl:lncRNA
AUAAAGUGUACUGCCCUCUUGUGGCCUUUAGUGGGAUUUUGCCAUUUGUUUUGACAGGCAGACUUGAGUGACCUCUAGUGGCCGAAUAAGCCUACGCAUCCAAUGUGAUUUCGCAUAUUCCACGUUUUUUUUGCCUAUGUGUGAACCAUAGCCUAUGUGUGAACCAUAGAUUGUAUAAAAACAGGUGUGAACAUGCAAGACUGAGUAGGGGGAGGCUGCAGACCUGGAGCAGGCAGAUCUAGGGCCCAGACAGUUUUACGCCCCUGUUGUUCCUCAUGCGUCCAGUAGGGGGAGGCUGUACAGUAUGAGCUAUUCAGAACAGACAAAGUCAAGAAGCGACAUGAAAUAAGAGGGCAAAGACAUAUACCCUGCCAACAUGCAUGUUAUUGCCAGAAUCCUCUAGCCUACUCUCCAGAAUGUGUAAAUUAUACUAUUUGACAUCUACAUCUAAGUCAGAAGUAAAAUAAAAGGUACAGAAGCCACUCUUAAGAGAGAUCCUCCUUCUAGUCUUCCUUUAGAAUAAUCAAAGCCUGGUUUUGGAGAUGACAAACACAGAGACAUCUUUAGGUCCACAGCUAAGAGAUUCUUGAUAACC